rnacentral:rRNA from 1 species
UACGGGGGGGGCAAGCGUUGUUCGGAAUUACUGGGCGUAAAGGGCCAGUAGGCGGCCAACUAAGUCCGACGUGAAAUCCCCAGGCUUAACCUGGGAACUGCGUCGGAUACUGGAUGGCUUGAAUUCGGGAGAGGGAUGCGGAAUUCCAGGUGUAGCGGUGAAAUGCGUAGAUAUCUGGAGGAACACCGGUGGCGAAGGCGGCAUCCUGGACCGGCAUUGACGCUGAGGCGCGAAAGCUAGGGGAGCAAACGGG